UGGCAGCAGGCCACCUUUAAUUUCUGGAUCUGGGACUGAAGUGACUGCUCUAAUUGCAGGUCCACUUGCCAGUAACAGACAUGAUGCCAUUUUGGUUUUGUGAUCCCUUUCCAUGAGGAGACUGUCGCAGCUCGCAAGGAGGCUGUGAUCUCACAGGCCUGCUCUUGGGAUUUUUAGCCCAGCUGAAGAUUAAACCAGGACUACUGCCUCUCCACAUAUUUUUGUGAAUUUCCAGCCUUUACUUGUGUCCCACUGAAUGAUAAUAAAGAUCCCACUCUUUCAUUACCUGGUAUCCUUAUCCUGCUACACUUCAGGGAGAUGAAUUGAGCCUUGUGACAUAAGCCACAAUGAGGCCAAGGACAAGCAUUGAAACAGAAGACAGAUGUAGCAAAGGAAGAUGGAUACACUUCAGGACACAGGAUUCUGAACAUAAUAUUCUAAGGGAAUGUGGUAAAAACAACCCUAUAUGAAGAAAAGCAAUUUGAAUAUGCAAUAACUGUGUGAAAAAAUGUAAAUGGCUUAGCUUGAAAAGAUGUUAGUAUAAGUAAAAUAAUGGCAUACCCUUUUCAACAGGAGGGUUGAAAGAAUAAGAAUAUAUAUAGCUGGAAGAAUAAGAACAUUUGAAGACACAUGAGGAAAUAUCUCCAUCCUGGAAAGAGAAAGGAAGUUUUAACAUGCACAAAAUUUAAAUUCCUUCAAUUUUGUCAUGAUAUGUAUCCUACAGCAGAGUGUGAUAACUCUCUUGUUCUACAGGGUCU